rnacentral:rRNA from 1 species
CUUCAGCAGCAUCUAUUAAGUUGCUGCGGUUAAAAGGCUCGCAGUUGAAUGUCUGUAUCGAGCGCAGGUCAGGUGGACGUUGGAGCGUGGAAGUACGGGCAGUUGGAUGUCAUAUAUGCGUGUGUCUCACGAUGCUCGGGUGUGUGCUCCUUCGGCUUUUCCACACACUCCCGUCCGUAACAAGCCUCCUCGCUCGGGUACAUAACGGGAAUCGGUUAAACGGAGUGUGGUGUG